AUGGGAACGCGAAGAACCUUACCUACUCUUGACAUCCAGAGAACUUUCCAGAGAUGGAUUGGUGCCUUCGGGAACUCUGAGACAGGUGCUGCAUGGCUGUCGUCAGCUCGUGUUGUGGAAUGUUGGGUUAAGUCCCGCAACGAGCGCAACCCGUUAUCCUUUGUUGCCAGCGAUUCGGUCGGGAACUCAAAGGAGACUGCCAGUGAUAAACUGGAGGAAGGUGGGGAUGACGUCAAGUCAUCAUGGCCCUUACGAGUAGGGCUACACACGUGCUACAAUGGCGCAUACAAAGAGAAGCGACCUCGCGAGAGCAAGCGGACCUCAUAAAGUGCGUCGUAGUCCGGAUUGGAGUCUGCAACUCGACUCCAUGAAGUCGGAAUCGCUAGUAAUCGUAGAU
rnacentral:rRNA from 1 species